UGGGGAAUAUUGGACAAUGGGCGAAAGCCUGAUCCAGCCAUGCCGCGUGUGUGAAGAAGGUCUUCGGAUUGUAAAGCACUUUAAGUUGGGAGGAAGAGCAGUUACCUAAUACGUGAUUGUUUUGACGUUACCGACAGAAUAAGCACCGGCUAACUCU
rnacentral:rRNA from 1 species